UACGAAGGGGGCUAGCGUUGUUCGGAAUCACUGGGCGUAAAGGGCGCGUAGGCGGCUUUGUAAGUCGGGGGUGAAAGCCUGUGGCUCAACCACAGAAUUGCCUUCGAUACUGCAUGGCUUGAGACCGGAAGAGGUAAGUGGAACUGCGAGUGUAGAGGUGAAAUUCGUAGAUAUUCGCAAGAACACCAGUGGCGAAGGCGGCUUACUGGUCCGGUUCUGACGCUGAGGCGCGGAAGCGUGGGGAGCAAACAGG
rnacentral:rRNA from 1 species